GAACCGUGUCCGAACCGCACGGCGGCGUCCUGGGGGGUCCACUGUGAGGACGGGGGGUCCACUGUGAGGACGGAGCUUCCUCUCCUCAGGACCCACCCAGGAGGGGCCGGGGCUUGGGACACCUGGGGACACCUGGGGCCGCGUCCGCUGUGAGGACAGGGAGACGCUGCUGCAGCUCCGGGACACCUGGGGCCACCGAGGCGAAGGGGUAAAUCUUUUCAAGACACUAAAACAGGUGACUCAGCCCUGUGAGCUCUGUGCCUGACAUGACCCAAACGGCCAGCAAUUUUCUCCUUCUCCAGUUAAACCUGUCCAAAAUUGAGGAACCUAUCCAGUUUCAGCUCAGCUAGGGAUCUAGUCUUACUAAAGACGUGGGAAGAAGUUCUC
rnacentral:lncRNA from 10 species